rnacentral:rRNA from 1 species
GACGUAGGGCGCGAGCGUUGUCCGGAUUUAUUGGGCGUAAAGAGCUCGUAGGCGGCUUGUCGCGUCGACUGUGAAAUCCCGCGGCUCAACCGCGGUCUGCAGUCGAUACGGGCAGGCUAGAGUUCGGUAGGGGAGACUGGAAUUCCUGGUGUAGCGGUGAAAUGCGCAGAUAUCAGGAGGAACACCGAUGGCGAAGGCAGGUCUCUGGGCCGAUACUGACGUGAGGAGCGAAAGCGUGGGGAGCGAACAGG